CCUACGGGGGGCUGCAGUGGGGAAUAUUGGACAAUGGGGGGAACCCUGAUCCAGCCAUGCCGCGUGUGUGAAGAAGACCCUCGGGUUGUAAAGCACUUUCAGUGAGGAAGAACGCCUGGUGGUUAAUACCCAUCAGGAAAGACAUCACUCACAGAAGAAGCACCGGCUAACUCCGUGCCAGCAGCCGCGGUAAUACGGAGGGUGCGAGCGUUAAUCGGAAUUACUGGGCGUAAAGCGCGCGUAGGUGGCUUGAUAAGCCGGUUGUGAAAGCCCCGGGCUCAACCUGGGAACGGCAUCCGGAACUGUCAAGCUAGAGUGCAGGAGAGGAAGGUAGAAUUCCCGGUGUAGCGGUGAAAUGCGUAGAGAUCGGGAGGAAUACCAGUGGCGAAGGCGGCCUUCUGGACUGACACUGACACUGAGGUGCGAAAGCGUGGGUAGCAAACAGGAUUAGAUACCCUUGUAGUC
rnacentral:rRNA from 1 species